AUUGAACGCUGGCGGAAUGCUUUACACAUGCAAGUCGAACGGCAGCACGGGGCAACCUGGUGGCGAGUGGCGAACGGGUGAGUAAUAUAUCGGAACGUGCCCAAUCGUGGGGGAUAACGUAGCGAAAGUUACGCUAAUACCGCAUACGAUCUACGGAUGAAAGCGGGGGAUCGCAAGACCUCGCGCGAAUGGAGCGGCCGAUAUCAGAUUAGGUAGUUGGUGGGGUAAAGGCUCACCAAGCCAACGAUCUGUAGCUGGUCUGAGAGGACGACCAGCCACACUGGAACUGAGACACGGUCCAGACUCCUACGGGAGGCAGCAGUGGGGAAUUUUGGACAAUGGGCGCAAGCCUGAUCCAGCCAUGCCGCGUGAGUGAAGAAGGCCUC
rnacentral:rRNA from 1 species